rnacentral:rRNA from 1 species
UACGGAGGGUGCAAGCGUUAUCCGGAUUUACUGGGUUUAAAGGGUGUGUAGGCGGGCUAUUAAGUCAGUGGUGAAAUCUCCGGGCUCAACCCGGAAACUGCCAUUGAUACUAUUAGUCUUGAAUUUUGUUGAGGUAGGCGGAAUAAGUCAUGUAGCGGUGAAAUGCAUAGAUAUGACUUAGAACACCAAUUGCGAAGGCAGCUUACUAAGCAAAUAUUGACGCUGAGGCACGAAAGCGUGGGGAUCAAACAGG